rnacentral:rRNA from 1 species
UGCAGUCGAGCGAAUCGAUGGGAGCUUGCUCCCUGAGAUUAGCGGCGGACGGGUGAGUAACACGUGGGCAACCUGCCUAUAAGACUGGGAUAACUUCGGGAAACCGGAGCUAAUACCGGAUACGUUCUUUUCUCGCAUGAGAGAAGAUGGAAAGACGGUUUACGCUGUCACUUAUAGAUGGGCCCGCGGCGCAUUAGCUAGUUGGUGAGGUAAUGGCUCACCAAGGCGACGAUGCGUAGCCGACCUGAGAGGGUGAUCGGCCACACUGGGACUGAGACACGGCCCAGACUCCUACGGGAGGCAGCAGUAGGGAAUCUUCCGCAAUGGACGAAAGUCUGACGGAGCAACGCCGCGUGAACGAAGAAGGCCUUCGGGUCGUAAAGUUCUGUUGUUAGGGAAGAACAAGUACCAGAGUAACUGCUGGUACCUUGACGGUACCUAACCAGAAAGCCACGGCUAACUACGUGCCAGCAGCCGCGGUAAUACGUAGGUGGCAAGCGUUGUCCGGAAUUAUUGGGCGUAAAGCGCGCGCAGGUGGUUCCUUAAGUCUGAUGUGAAAGCCCACGGCUCAACCGUGGAGGGUCAUUGGAAACUGGGGAAC